AGUGAACGCUGGCGGUAGGCCUAACACAUGCAAGUCGAACGGCAGCACAGUAAGAGCUUGCUCUUACGGGUGGCGAGUGGCGGACGGGUGAGGAAUACAUCGGAAUCUACUUUUUCGUGGGGGAUAACGUAGGGUAACUUACGCUAAUACCGCAUACGACCUACGGGUGAAAGCAGGGGAUCUUCGGACCUUGCGCGAUUGAAUGAGCCGAUGUCGGAUUAGCUAGUUGGCGGGGUAAAGGCCCACCAAGGCGACGAUCCGUAGCUGGUCUGAGAGGAUGAUCAGCCACACUGGAACUGAGACACGGUCCAGACUCCUACGGGAGGCAGCAGUGGGGAAUAUUGGACAAUGGGCGCAAGCCUGAUCCAGCCAUACCGCGUGGGUGAAGAAGGCCUUCGGGUUGUAAAGCCCUUUUGUUGGGAAAGAAAAGCAGCAGGUUAAUACCCCGCUGUUCUGACGGUACCCAAAGAAUAAGCACCAGCUAACUUCGUG
rnacentral:rRNA from 1 species